rnacentral:lncRNA from 1 species
AAUAUGGCGACACAUUGGUUGAAUGGUGUUAAAAAACGGUUGAAGAAGCCACAUGACUCCAGGGUCCACCAAGAUGUUGUUAUUAUUAGGGGGGAUGCCAAGGAGUUCAUGGAGGGUUACAUCAAAGAAGUGCAGGAGAAGGACCAUUGCUACUUCAGACCCCCAGUCUGCCGCCGGAAGGACUAUUAUUACUAUGGCUGUGACCGUGGGAAUCACGCUGCAGGCAAAAGUAAUGGAGAAGCCACACAAACUCGGGCCAAUUCUUGCAAGGCAUACAUCUCUUUCAAAGUCAUCACGGAUGCCGGAAUAUCAGGUGCCAUAAUCCAAAAGAUGCUACAGCACACUGGCCAUGACGAGGGUAAUUCUAAAGAGAAAAACCGCAUCCACCCAGACCUGCAUUCCCUCAUUGAAAUAUGGCUUCAACAGGGUUGUUCUACUUCUGAGAUCUUAAUAAAAAGCUAUGAUUGGGCUCAACAAAAUGGGCAUGUGGACAAAAAAGACCGCCGGUUUUACUUGACCCCUAAUGACAUUCGGCUUUUAAAGAAAACAGUGAUUCUGUCAGUGUGGACCAUUUGGUUUCCAUGGAACUCAGAGACAACAUCUGUUUUUAUCAGCCACUUCACAAUGAACAACCAUUCAUUUUAGUUGUACAAACACCAUUUCAAAAACAACUUUUGGAAGAGAACCCUCAUCCAAUGGUUUUCAUGGAUGCUUCAUACAAAGGCAUAACAGCCUACGGGUAUGCAUUUUAUGCACUGUUAUUGAUAAACAAAACUGGAAGAGGCGUGCCAUUUGCCUAUUUUAUCCUGAGCAAGGAAACUACUGCAACAGUAAGCCUCUGCCUACAGAAGCUUCAAUUGAGUAACCCAAGCUUCUAUCCAAGGUCAGUGAUGAUGGACUGUGACUUGAGAGUGCUUAAUGCUAUUAAAAGCGUUUUCCCAAAUGCAAAGCUUCUCCUUUGUUGGUUCCAUGUGCUUCAGGCUGUUAACCGGUGGCUUGUGAAGACAGAUGGAGGUCACCUGACACCUGAACAAAGAAAUGUGGUCAUUCAUGCCAUGGCAUCAAUGAAAGCAUGUCUGACGGUACUAUAUUUUCUUACAUUCAUAACCCCAGUGCAACUAAGUGGUCCUGACCAAAUUAUGCAUUCUGUAGUGUACAUAAUAGUGAGUUUACAAUUAUUUAUGCUUUUUCUUUUUAAUUCCCCUAAGGAGGAAGAGUUUCUCAAUGUAUCUGCCAAGAAAUGCAGUGAGAUCGACACCUUUUUGGAUAGUCCCCAUGUAACAACUUAUCUGAAGACAAAUUGGUUUACUUAUGCGGAGCUGUGGGUAAACUUUGGCAGAACGUUCUAUCACUGUAGCAGUGAGACAAACAACAAGGCUGAAAGCUACAUGGAUGGCCUCAGCGAAGCAGGACGACUGACAUUAUCCAGCUCUGCUGCUCACCAGGCUGCUGCGCUGCUAUUUAAAAAUGGUGUGGGCUAA